GCAAUGCAGCACUAGCAAAUUGUAUCCAAAGCAGCCAAACGCUCCCAGCACAGCAGCCCCAGUGUGAUUCCAAAUGUCAAGAGCACCACCUGCUGCCCAGACUGUGAAAAGCCUCAGUUGUCUCCUGUUCUCUUCAGCAACAUCAGUGCAGUGGGUCUCAAACUGGAUGAGUAAGCUGAGGAUCUGAAGUUCUCUCCAAGAUUCGUGUGCAGGUCAGUUCGGGCUGCUCUGCUUUGGUCUGCAGACCAGGUGCAGGUCUGCUCCACGUGUCUCUCAUCUUUGAACCGGGGUCUACUCUUUUUGUGGCAGAUGGCAGCAGCAAAGGGGCCAAACUAAACAGGAAAACCCGUUUAAAGCCUCUGCUUACAUCAUAUUUGCUCGCAUCCUAUUGGCCAAAGCAAGUCACAUAGUCAACAUCAAUGGAGUAAGGAGGUAUAUUUGUCCCACAGAGGUUGAGAGAAAGCCGGACGAGGGCAAAGAGGGCAGGUCGAGCUGUGGAUAAAUCAUACAAUCUAUUACAGACCCACAUUGUAGAAACACUGCCUUUAAAGAAAGGGAUUGUUCCCAUUACUCUCUUAAAAAAUUAUAGAACCUCCAAUGCAAGUCGUAAUUAAGUCUAUGAAUUUUAUUCUCUUCUCCUAUUUCUGAAAUUUCCAUUAACUAAAUGAAAUUAGGUGCAAAAUUCUAAAUCAUAACAGGAAACCAGAAGGGGAGCAACCACAUGCCUAAAACUUAUAAAUUGAAAGAUUGCAGACAAAAGGGAUGCUAGAAGAAGUGCCAGCCCUUUCACCAUUGGCUACACAAACUUCUCAGAAGGAGAUGACAUGACAGGAUCACAGGAACCUGGCUUUCAUCCUAGCUCUGAGCCAAAGUGGCUAGAGAUAGGGUGGCUGGUGUUGCAGGCAGCCAAAAGCCAAAUCCUCCAGGAAUGGCCCCUCAACCUGCUGCCACGGCCCGCUGGAAUGAGGCUCUCCUCAGGGCAGCCUCACUUCUCCUCAGAGCUC
rnacentral:lncRNA from 1 species